UGGUCCACUUUCUUGUGACACGGUGCCCUUAAAAGAGGCCCCACUAUAGGUCUUUGGACUUGCAGGUUGAGGAGCCCAAAACGGAACUUUACAAAGUACAGCAAGGAAACGAUUACUCGUGUAGAUGGGCAUUGAGGAACGCGUGUGGGAGAGGAAUUACUCCCCUUAUGAAUUGAAUGGGGAAUAGUGAGAGCGUGGAAUACUAUAUAAGAAUUGCAUUGG
rnacentral:lncRNA from 1 species